UGUGAUGAUAAGUUCAAUCUGAACAAAGUGCUGUUGAUCACCAACUUACAAUUAAACCAAAAGG
rnacentral:snoRNA from 1 species